AUCCUUUUGUAGUUCAUAAGUGUGAUGAUUGGGUGUUCACGCUCUUGUGUGAGAUGUGCCUCCCACAAACCUUGUUACGACAUCAGCCCAUUACCUGUCUGACA
rnacentral:snoRNA from 1 species